CCCAGCGCUCACGCGCUGGGCUACCAACUGGCGCCACUACGUGGCU
rnacentral:ncRNA from 1 species